GAUGAACGCUGGCGGCGUGGAUAAGGCAUGCAAGUCAAAUGUGGUUUGGCACAUGGCAAACGGGUUAGUAACACGUCAAAAAGUACCCCAAAGUUUGGCAUAACCCCGCGAAAGCGGGGAUAAUUCCGGAUACUCUUUUUUGCAGGAAAGUAAAAGAGGAAAGGUUUUUUGCUUUGGGAGCGGUUGGCGGCCUAUCAGCUUGUUGGUGUGGUAAAAGCUCACCAAGGGUAUGACGGGUAGGGGGUUCGAGAGGAUGUUUCCCAACACUGGCACUGAGACACGGGCCCGACACCUACGGGUGGCAGCGGCCGAGAAUUUUUCCCAAUGGACGAAAGUUUGAGGGAGGGACGCCGCGUGCAGGAAGACGGCCCCUGGGUUGUAAAAUGCUUUUUUAUGGGAACAAUUUUUGGAUGAGCGUACCAUAGGAAUAAGAGGUUGCUAACUUUGUG
rnacentral:rRNA from 1 species